GCCGAUGUAGCUCAGUUGGUAGAGCAAUUGUUUCGUAAACAAUAGGUCGGAGGUUCAAGUCCUCUCAUCGGCU
rnacentral:tRNA from 1 species